CCCUUAGAUGUUCUGGGCUGCACGCGUGCUACACUGAUAUUGCCAAUAUGUCAUUCUUAUCCGAAAUGGAUUGGGUAAUCAAGUAAUGAAAUUUCAUGCUUGGAAUCGGUAAUUGCAAUUUUAUCGUGAACGAGGAAUUCCUAGUAAGCACUAGUCAUCAGCUAAUGUUGAUUAUGUCCCUGCCCUUUGUACAUACCGCCCGUCGCUACUACUGAUUGGGUGUUCAAGUGAGAUGCUUAGACCCUUGUUGCAUGGUUCAUUAUUGUGCUCCGAAAGGAAAAAGUUUCAAGCUUGAGUGUCUAGAGGAAGUAAAAGUCGUAACA
rnacentral:rRNA from 1 species